rnacentral:rRNA from 1 species
GGGUUGUGAGGUUAAGCGACUAAGCGUACACGGUGGAUGCCCUGGCAGUCAGAGGCGAUGAAGGACGUGCUAAUCUGCGAUAAGCGUCGGUAAGGUGAUAUGAACCGUUAUAACCGGCGAUUUCCGAAUGGGGAAACCCAGUGUGAUUCGUCACACUAUCAUUAACUGAAUCCAUAGGUUAAUGAGGCGAACCGGGGGAACUGAAACAUCUAAGUACCCCGAGGAAAAGAAAUCAACCGAGAUUCCCCCAGUAGCGGCGAGCGAACGGGGAGGAGCCCAGAGCCUGAAUCAGUGUGUGUGUUAGUGGAAGCGUCUGGAAAGGCGCGCGAUACAGGGUGACAGCCCCGUACACAAAAAUGCACAUG